rnacentral:lncRNA from 1 species
CGGCUUUGUGCGAUUUACCCUCUCAAACUUUCUAGUUUGCAAGUCAGAAUUACUUUGAACGUCCCCUCUUCUGGACUCCCCUCCCCAAAGGGACUGGCGGCAAAGGAGAAUAGAACGCAGAUGGUUAAUAGUUCAAAUGAAAUGUAAAAACCUAUAAACCAAUAUUUUUUUAGAGGAGAAAAGCGUUCACCAAACCGCCACCCGGCAAGCGAGCAUCCGAUUUCCAUCCGGAGGAAAAAAUAUUUUAAAAACCAGACAUAAAAUUCCCUUUGCAAGAAAAGUGGCCCCUAAACUCCCUUGCCAAGGACACUGGGAGGAAGCAGAAAAGCAAAGACCAAGCUCGUACUUUUCAGUCCGCGGCUUGUGUGCCGCGAGGAGAGGCGCAAAGGGUGACACACCAGGAAAGUGGCUGUGAUUCAGCGUCCCUCUUAGCAGCAGGCACUGACAGAGGCAGGAGAGGAAAAAAGAAAGAAAGAAAGAGAAAACACAGCAAAUGAAUCAAACGGACCAGGUAGCAGGCAAGAGUGUGGUUAUCGUUGGACCAGGAUUCAGGAUCUGACCGAGUAGCUGACUCUUAAUCCAGUUUGUGUUGAUCACCAGGAGGAUCUGGACCUCAGUGUUAUCACAUCUAAAGGUGAUAUGCCAACUCCACCUUUGCCUUCCACCAUGUUUGGAAGCUCCCUGAGGCCUCACCAGGAGCAGAUGCUCGUCCCAUGCUUCCUAUAAGCCUGCAGAACUGUGAGCCAUAAUAAACUGUGAAUUAUAAAUUGCCUUUAUAGCAAUGCAAAUGGACCAGUACAGAUGGGAUGCUGGGAAGACAGUUGUUCCACCUUCAGUAAAGUCCAUGGAACACAGUUGUGACUAUAUUCUAGGCCAGCCAAGAUGCUUGUACUCAGAAAGGAGUGAUCUCAGGACCAUAAGAAAGUGAAAAAAUAAAAAUAAGAAAACAAAGAAGGGAUUGUCAAUGAAUCAGAAUUCAUCAAGGUCAAAGUCUUAGGAAAUUCCUUCAUGAGGAAGUCUAGGGGGGCUAUGGAAAUGAAAAUUUUUAAACAAAUAGGUAUGUGGUGCUGGCAGGAAUAAAUUAUGGACUUAUGAAUAUAACAUAAGAUUCUUUAUUACCUGGUCUCACCCGUCUUUCCACCUCUGCCCCCCUUCUUGCCCGACUCUGUGUAUCACCCAUAAUAAACUACUUACAGCUUCCUAGUGUUAAAUUUACCCUAAAGCUGCCUCCUUCAAUAUUUUAAGUUUAACCUAAAGGUUCUUCAUACAUAGUGAACUAUAACCCAAUGAUUAAACAGAUUGUAACCUACUCUUGUACCAGUCACCAAGUUUCAGCCAAUCAGAGGUGGCCAACUGUUCAAACCAUGCUCAAAUAAGGGAAAUGUCAUGGUGUAACUAAUCCAGCUGUUUCUAUAUCUUACUUCUGUUUUCUUAGGUCACUUU